rnacentral:rRNA from 1 species
UACGGAGGAUGCGAGCGUUAUCCGGAUUUAUUGGGUUUAAAGGGUGCGUAGGCGGCUUUUUAAGUCAGCGGUGAAAUUUUGCAGCUUAACUGUAACAGUGCCGUUGAUACUGGGGAGCUAGGAUUUUGUUGCUGUGGGUGGAAUGUGUGGUGUAGCGGUGAAAUGCUUAGAGAUCACACAGAAUAUCGAUUGCGAAGGCAGCUCACAAAGCCAAGAUUGACGCUGAGGCACGAAAGUGUGGGGAUCAAACAGGAUUAGA